UGGGGAAUUUUGGACAAUGGGCGAAAGCCUGAUCCAGCAAUGCCGCGUGUGUGAAGAAGGCCUUCGGGUUGUAAAGCACUUUUGUCCGGAAAGAAAUCCUUGGCUCUAAUACAGUCGGGGGGAUGACGGUACCGGAAGAAUAAGCACCGGCUAACUACGUGCCAGCAGCCGCGGUAAUACGUAGGGUGCAAGCGUUAAUCGGAAUUACUGGGCGUAAAGCGUGCGCAGGCGGUUUGCUAAGACCGAUGUGAAAUCCCCGGGCUCAACCUGGGAACUGCAUUGGUGACUGGCAGGCUAGAGUAUGGCAGAGGGGGGUAGAAUUCCACGUGUAGCAGUGAAAUGCGUAGAGAUGUGGAGGAAUACCGAUGGCGAAGGCAGCCCCCUGGGGCCAAUACUGACGCUCAUGCACGAAAGCGUGGGGAGCAAACAGGAUUAGAUACCCUGGUAGUCCAGCGCCCUAAACGAUGUCAACUAGUUGUUGGGGAUUCAUUUCCUAGUACGUAGCUAACGCGUGAGUUGACCGCCUGGGGAGUACGGUCGCAA
rnacentral:rRNA from 1 species